rnacentral:piRNA from 1 species
UGAAGCUAGUGUCUUUGCAGU